GACGAACGCUGGCGGCGUGCUUAACACAUGCAAGUCGAACGGAAAGGCCUCUUUCGGGGGGUACUCGAGUGGCGAACGGGUGAGUAACACGUGAGUAACCUGCCCUUGACUUUGGGAUAACUUCAGGAAACUGGGGCUAAUACCGGAUAGGAGCUCCUGCUGCAUGGUGGGGGUUGGAAAGUUUCGGCGGUUGGGGAUGGACUCGCGGCUUAUCAGCUUGUUGGUGGGGUAGUGGCUUACCAAGGCUUUGACGGGUAGCCGGCCUGAGAGGGUGACCGGCCACAUUGGGACUGAGAUACGGCCCAGACUCCUACGGGAGGCAGCAGUGGGGAAUAUUGCACAAUGGGUGGAGGCCUGAUGCAGCAACGCCGUGUGCGGGAUGACGGCCUUCGGGUUGUAAACCGCUUUCGCUCAUGACGAAGCUUUGUGUGACGGUAGUGGGUAAAGAAGCACCGGCUAACUACGU
rnacentral:rRNA from 1 species